rnacentral:rRNA from 1 species
UACGGGGGGGGUAAGCGUUGUUCGGAAUUACUGGGCGUAAAGGGCUCGUAGGCGGCCAACUAAGUCAGACGUGAAAUCCCUCAGCUUAACUGGGGAACUGCGUCUGAUACUGGAUGGCUUGGAUUCGGGAGAGGAAUGCGGAAUUCCAGGUAUAGCGGUGAAAUGCGUAGAUAUCUGGAGGAACACCGGUGGCGAAGGCGGCAUUCUGGACCGAUAUUGACGCUGAGGAGCGAAAGCCAGGGGAGCAAACGGG